rnacentral:rRNA from 1 species
CCUACGGGAGGCAGCAGUGGGGAAUAUUGCACAAUGGGGGAAACCCUGAUGCAGCGACGCCGCGUGAGUGAAGAAGUAUUUCGGUACGUAAAGCUCUAUCAGCAGGGAAGAAAAUGACGGUACCUGACUAAGAAGCCCCGGCUAACUACGUGCCAGCAGCCGCGGUAAUACGUAGGGGGCAAGCGUUAUCCGGAUUUACUGGGUGUAAAGGGAGCGUAGACGGCAGCGCAAGUCUGGAGUGAAAUCCCAUGGCUUAACCAUGGAACUGCUUUGGAAACUGUGCAGCUAGAGUGCAGGAGAGGUAAGCGGAAUUCCUAGUGUAGCGGUGAAAUGCGUGAAUAUUAGGAGGAACACCAGUGGCGAAGGCGGCUUACUGGACUGUAACUGACGUUGAGGCUCGAAAGCGUGGGGAGCAAACAGGAUUAGAUACCCGAGUAGUC